UCUUCCCAAGUGACACUGCCGUGUAUGGGAGAGGGACCUAAUACCCUCUAUGUUUUUCCAAUUCUAAUGUUGUCUUGGAUAUUCCAUUGAUAGCUUCAUUCAGUUCCGCCAUUGAAACUUUUUCUUCUUCUUCUUCUUCAUCACAAUUCUAGGAGUUGUGUUUGUUUAUUUGAUUCCCAUCUAAGUAUGCCAAGAAAAGAGGAAGUGGUUGAUACUGGGCAUGGCAAGACAUCAUCCCCGAGGUUGAUGUCUACAAAUUGGAUCCUUGGUUUUUACCAGAUUCUUGUUUUCUUCUUUCAGAGAUACAAACAUAUGGUCCGGAGUGGUUCUUCUUCUCUCCUCUUUAUAAAAAGUACCGAAAGCGCAAUCAAUUACAGAGGACAACAAAUGUUGGCUACUGGAAACCCACCGGUCCGGCUCGUGAUAUCAAGCGUGGGGUCACCGAAGAGGUGAUCGGUACCAAGAAAACUUUGGUUUUCCAUAUGGGCGGUGGCCAUGGCCAUGCGGACGUCACUACUGGCUGGGUUAUCCACGAGUAACGCGCAUGUAUGGAUGGCCUCCCUUCCUGCCAGUGUAUGCUAUCCCUCUCUUACUCACCGUUUUUUUACACUUGUAAUUAAGGGUUAAGGCACAUUUUUAUUGCUUUAUUUAAUAUUUAAAUUAAUGACUUUUUGUUUACUUUUUUAAAUAAUAUUUUUAAAAAUAAUUUCAUCCAUGAUUUAUUUUGUA